UACGGGGGGGGGUAAGCGUUGUUCGGAAUUACUGGGCGUAAAGGGCUCGUAGGCGGCCAACUAAGUCGGCCGUGAAAUCCCUCAGCUUAACUGGGGAACUGCGUCCGAUACUGGAUGGCUUGGAUUUGGGAGAGGGAUGCGGAAUUCCAGGUGUAGCGGUGAAAUGCGUAGAUAUCAGGAGGAACACCGGUGGCGAAGGCGGGUCUCUGGGCCGAUACUGACGCUGAGGAGCGAAAGCGUGGGGAGCGAACAGG
rnacentral:rRNA from 1 species